GGUGCCGUAGGCAAAUUGGUMAAGCCACCUGUCUUUCAAGCAGGAGAUUGCGGGUAUCUCCUUACGGAGACGCUACGCGAACAACCCCCGUCGGCACUG
rnacentral:tRNA from 1 species